rnacentral:rRNA from 1 species
GACGGAGGAUGCAAGCGUUAUCCGGAAUGAUUGGGCGUAAAGCGUCCGCAGGUGGCAGUUCAAGUCUGCUGUCAAAGACCGGGGCUUAACUUCGGAAAGGCAGUGGAAACUGAACAGCUAGAGUAUGGUAGGGGCAGAGGGAAUUUACGGUGUAGCGGUGAAAUGCGUAGAUAUCGUAAGGAAGACCAGUGGCGAAGGCGGGUCUCUGGACAGUUCCUGACGCUGAGGCACGAAAGCUAGGGGAGCGAACAGG